CUAUAAAAAAAAAUAUUAGCUCAUCUUCUUCUCCAAGCUGUCCCAUGCUCUCUCUCUCUCUUUCUCUCACUUUCUCUCAUCUUCCACCAUUAAUACUCACCUCCAAGCUUUAACCACUUGAUUUUCCUCCAUAAUUUCUUUAGGAAAUCAAGAGUAAACCCUAAAUUAAGCCCUAAAUUGUAGAAAGCACACAAGAAUUUCAAGGAUUUUGGAAGAUUGGUGAAGAGGAGGUGUUGACCAAAUCAAGAAGGGGAAUUCAGUCAGAAAGGGAAAACAAGAAGGAAAGUCAAAGUUGGUUGGAUUAGAAGCAAAUUGAAGGUUGAUUGGAGUUGUUUAAGUCUUGUACACAAAGGUUCAAGUGAUAAGGUUUAGUAAUUCUUAAGACAGAAAGUUGUGGCCUGAUCUGCAGGAGUGGUUACUGUCACCUUUACUCAUCUUUUGGUAGGGCUCACUGGCCCACAAUUAUGCAUGACUAUAUGUUGUAAUUAAACAUAAGUUUGUAAAUUAAAUUUUGAGUUGUAUAAAAUUAUAUACAUCAUGUACAUCUUGUAAAUAAUGAAAUGAAAGAAAUUUAU